UACGAAGGGUGCAAGCGUUACUCGGAAUUACUGGGCGUAAAGCGUGCGUAGGUGGUUCGUUAAGUCUGUCGUGAAAGCCCCGGGCUCAACCUGGGAAUGGCGAUGGAUACUGGCGGGCUAGAGUGCGGUAGAGGAGAGUGGAAUUCCCGGUGUAGCAGUGAAAUGCGUAGAGAUCGGGAGGAACACCGGUGGCGAAGGCGGCGAUCUGGGUCGAUACUGACGCUGAGGUGCGAAAGCGUGGGGAGCAAACAGG
rnacentral:rRNA from 1 species